UGGCCAUUGGACCCUNUAUGUAGCUCUGGU
rnacentral:piRNA from 1 species